GGUUAAUUAUUUAUUAGUAAUACAAAAUGAUGCAAUUUUCUGUAUUUAGGAAAUUCCCUCGAAAUUAGUUAAAUUCGUAGUGUUGGAAAAAAAAAAGCUCUCGGCCGAAUGUGGAGAAAUCGGGCUACACAAGGCACGCGCACAAUAUUUUAUAACACCCACGGUGAAAGAUUGGGCUACGGGGGCGCUCGCCACUUGGCCAUGAGGCUCGUCGAGUUGCGAUGGUUGGGCAUCGAGGCGAGGCGUCAACGCGCGGGGUAGGCCGGCACUGCUGGGCCGGGUGAAGCCGAGGCCCACGAGGCUG
rnacentral:lncRNA from 1 species